AGGUCGAUGAAUAGCUAGGAUUAUUUUUAUCAGUUUAUCUUAAAUGAGAAAAUUGUGAAUGAAACUAGUCAUGUUCGCAUAAGAAUACUUAUCAAAGUUUAAUUCUAUAAUGAUAUUAUUGUUAUUGUGAAACUAAACCAAUCGUGUAUUCACUACCAUGGAUUCCUUACUAGAAGUACCAAACAGUGAAUUGCCAAAACUACGAGAUCUCUUCCGAACUCACUGGCCGCAUGGAGUAGAGGGCUUUUGCCUCCUCAGCGCCAAUAUUUUAUAUCCUGCUCUUACAGAGUUUUUUAGUUUCAAAUUCUAUUGCCCAGGCGGCAAGAUUGCUAAUGGAUUGGUUGCAAUUAGUGAUAAGGAAUACUACCAAGUGUAUAUUUGUCCUGUAACAGAAGAUGUAUCUAUAAUGGAAAAUGCAUUGUAUAAAACAUCUGUCAUUGACUGGAAUAGAGUUGUCACUGUGCCUUCAGCUAGUGCCAAUGUUGUGGCAGCCCUGAAAAGGCUUUGUAGUCGAUUGGAUUUAAAAAUUACAUACGAAAACCGAUGCUGUAAACAUCUACUUGACAGAGAUAAUAAACCAUUUGAUUUAAGUGACCCAGUAAACACAUACGUUGGUCCUAUGAAACGUGAGCACCUAAAACUAGUGAAUGAAACUUGGACGUUCUACAGUGAUCGUUCUUACAGCUUGUUUGAAACCUUAAUGAAUAACGGUCUCACCUACAUGCUGUACUCCUCUGAGGACCAUUCUCCUGUUUCCUGGAUCACUGUGGACGAAGCUGGUGCCUUCACACAUCUGUACUGCUUAAAUGCUUACAGAAGGAAGGGUUACGCUGAAUAUAUUACCAAGGUGACUGUCAAUGACCUCCUCCAGCAAGGAAAAGAUGUACUGGCAUACACAUUAGAGGACAACAUCAAACCUCAAAAAUUAUUCGAAAAGCUGGAUUUUGAUUUUCUUGGAUACGUGUGGUGGAUCCGUUUGACGAAGGAUAA